UAGACACUAAGACGGAUCAUGUUAAUAAACCCUGCAUAAAGGAUUAAACAAGAUGAACCCCGCCUGCAUGUCUUUGGUUGGGGCGACCGCGGGGAAACAAAUAACCCCCGUGUGGACUGGGAGAACUUCUCCUAAAAGCAAGAACCACAGUUCUAACUAACAGAACUUCUGACCUAUAAGAUCCGGCUAGUGCCGAUCAACGGACCGAGUUACCCUAGGGAUAACAGCGCAAUCCUCUUUGAGAGUCCAUAUCGAUGAGAGGGUUUACGACCUCGAUGUUGGAUCAGGACAUCCUGAUGGUGCAGCCGCUAUUAAG
rnacentral:rRNA from 1 species